rnacentral:rRNA from 1 species
UCUGGUGACAAUGGCAAGGAGGUCACACCUGUUCCCAUGCCGAACACAGAAGUUAAGCUCCUUAGCGCCGAUGGUAGUUGGAUUUACGUU